rnacentral:rRNA from 1 species
GACGAACGCUGGCGGCGUGCUUAACACAUGCAAGUCGAACGGAAAGGCCCUGCUUUUGUGGGGUGCUCGAGUGGCGAACGGGUGAGUAACACGUGAGUAACCUGCCCUUGACUUUGGGAUAACUUCAGGAAACUGGGGCUAAUACCGGAUAGGAGCUCCUGCUGCAUGGUGGGGGUUGGAAAGUUUCGGCGGUUGGGGAUGGACUCGCGGCUUAUCAGCUUGUUGGUGGGGUAGUGGAUUCCCAAGGUUUUGACGGGUAGCCAGCCUGAGAGGGUGACCGGCUACAUGGGGAUGGGGGAGGGGCCAGGCGCGAAGCGGGAGCAAUGGGGGGGAAAUUUACGGAAAGGGGCGGAGGGUGUGAGGAACAACCGCGGAGCGGAAAGGACGGCUUUUGGGGUAGAAACGGUUUUGACGUGUCGAAGCGCGGGGGGACGGGAACUGGUAAAAAAGCCACGGCUAACUUAGUG